CCUACGGGACGCAGCGACGCCGCGUGAGGGAUGAAGGUCUUCGGAUCGUAAACCUCUGUCAGCAGGGAAGAACGGUCACUGUGCUAAUCAGCAGUGAAUUGACGGUACCUGCAAAGGAAGCACCGGCUAACUCCGUGCCAGCAGCCGCGGUAAUACGGAGGGUGCGAGCGUUAAUCGGAAUUACUGGGCGUAAAGCGCUCGUAGGCGGUAUGUCAAGUCAAGGGUGAAAUCCCCGCGCUCAACGUGGGAACUGCCUUUGAAACUGGCAAACUGGAGUGUGUGAGAGGAUAGUGGAAUUCCAGGUG
rnacentral:rRNA from 1 species